rnacentral:rRNA from 1 species
AACGAACGCUGGCGGCAGGCUUAACACAUGCAAGUCGAGCGCCCCGCAAGGGGAGCGGCAGACGGGUGAGUAACGCGUGGGAAUCUACCCAUCUCUACGGAAUAACGCAUGGAAACGUGUGCUAAUACCGUAUACGUCCUUCGGGAGAAAGAUUUAUCGGAGAUGGAUGAGCCCGCGUUGGAUUAGCUAGUUGGUGGGGUAAAGGCCUACCAAGGCGACGAUCCAUAGCUGGUCUGAGAGGAUGAUCAGCCACACUGGGACUGAGACACGGCCAAGACUCCUACAGGAGGCAGCAGUGGGGAAUAUUGGACAAUGGGCGCAAGCCUGAUCCAGCCAUGCCGCGUGAGUGAUGAAGGCCCUAGGGUUGUAAAGCUCUUUCACCGGUGAAGAUAAUGACGGUAACCGGAGAAGAAGCCCCGGCUAACUUCGUGCCAGCCGCCGCCGUAAUAC